UUGGACGUGAUAAAACAAACCCAAGCUCGAAAUUGAUGGGAUUUACAUCAAUUUUGGGGCGAAAUUAGUGUCCCUGAAUCCAGUUUUGGGCUAUUUUAAUCGAAAACAUUGGUAAUUACUGUGUAAAUAACGAAAUUGAAGUUUUUGUUUUUAGGUUACGUAACCUCACUUUUUUGCUCGAUUUUUUACGUUAAUGCCUGUUUUUGUGGUGAUAAUUGGACAAGAACGAAGCCUUUGCCCCAUUUUGCGUCGUAAACAGGUUUUUUUGUGCAAAAAGCUUGUGUUUUGCAAAAAAUUGGUCAAAACGGUUAUCUCGUAACUCCUGGAAUUUUCAGGGUUUUUUUACCUGAAUUGGGCUCUGAGACAUUUUACAUAAGAACUUGCCAUUUUUGUGUUUCCCCGAGUGUCAAUUUUCCGGAAAAAUGAAAACUUUUUGCUAAAAAAACGCUUUUUUGCUUAAGAAAGUGUCACAAUGUU